UAAUCAGAAAAAUUUUUAAAUAAAUCAAAAUAUUUAAAAUUUUUUGUACUAUCGCUCUACAAAAUGAAGAACUGAGGCUCAUUUUUUCUUGUUUUUAAAUUGUUUUAAUAGUUGAAAAAAUAGCACAACACAUAUUACCACAAUUUAUUAUUCUUCACUAGAUUCUUAUAGCAUGUCUACUUCCAAGGAAAUCUGGGGGGCAUUUUAUCUUAAAUUGCACAUAUCCAAUAAGAUCAUCAAAAGAGAAAUAAGUAAAAGCUAAUAAAAAGGAAACUGGGUGCAGAGGGUGUAAUGAUUCCUGGAAUUACUGCAACUGAAUGUUACAUUUAGCUUUAGGUUUCCCCGUGUCAAAAAGGGAAGGAUGUCUACAUUUGUAAGGUGCCUACUCAGUGCUGGGCACUGACAAUGGACACUACUCCCUCUAACAGCACUUUUUGUGGCCAAAUGAGCAGAUCCCUGCUCAAUUUAUUUAUUCACUUAUUCCUUUACUCAUAGCUCCUGCUCUCAAACAUUCAAAAUCUGGCUAGGGCCAAAUUGCCAAGAGUUGCAGGUGAAGGAGAGGGCACCGUGUGUCCUCUAUGAGACAGCACCCGCUGGAGCGCAGGGCUGGGCACAAGGAGAGUGGUGCCCCACGCUGUGCCAAUCAGUGGCCCUGGGUUACAACGCAAUGGGAAAGGGAAUGGUUAUGUAACAAAUGGUACCAGGAACAUCAAGGAUUGGGAGGAAAAAAAAUUAGAUAGGGCCUCCUGAUGAUUGUAAAGAGUUAACAUGGUGGCUCAGGCCUAUAAUCCCAGCACUUUGGGAGGCCAAGGCAGGCGAAUCACUUGAGGCCAGGAGUUCAAGACCAGGCUGGCCAACAUAAUGAAACCCCGUCUCUACUAAAAAUACAAAAAUCAGCUGAGCAUGGUGACAUGUGCCUAUAAUCCCAGCUACUUGGGAGGCUGAGGCAGAAGAAUCGCUUGAACCUAGGCGGUGGAGGUUGCAGUGAACCAAGAUUGCGCCAUGGUACUCCAGCCUGGGUGACAGAGUGAGACUCUGUCUCAAGGGGAAAAAAAAAAAAAAGUUAAGUAAAAAUUAGAAGAAAAUUAAUGUGGAUAUUUAACCUAUCACAGGAUAAGGAAGAAGUCUCGAAGCAUAAAAGCAAAAGAAAUUAUACGGGAAAAGGAGAUUUGCCUACAAGCAAACAAAAAACUUCUUUGUGUUAAAAACAAAAUUAUAAAGAAGGCCAUGUACUAGGAAGAUAACAUGCAACUAACAUGAUUGAAAAGGACUAAUCGCCUUCACAUACCAAGAACAUCUACAGAAGGUUGAAAAGUGGAAGAUACUCAAUCUUAUUCGUGAUGAGAUGAAUUCAAAUCAAAACGAUGAGAAAACCAUUUUGCAUGACCAAUGUUGUUUUGCCAAACUGAUAAAGUUAUCUAUUGGUUUGCAUGUUGGUUUAUUUUUAAGGAUAAUUCCACACCCUUUCUAAAGGAGGCAACAUUCCUAACCUUCAUCUUGUUCUCUUUCUAGAAAUAUUCAGAGAUGUGCCAAAAAGAUAUCUACAAGGAUAUUCUUUGCAUUAUUCUCAUUUUAAUAACCUUAUAAACUUUCAAAAAUGCAACAGAAAGCUGGAAAUCCCCUAACUAUCCAACAAUAGUUAUUUGGUUAAACAAAUGAUGACACAUUCCUAUGACGGGGUGAGAUACACUCAUCAGAAAUCAUAUAGCCAAUGAUAUUUAUGGACACUGAAAAUGUUCCUUAUAAAUUACUACAUGAAGAAACAUUAGGAUAAAACUGUACAUACAAUUUGAUUUCAAUUAUGUAAAUAUAUUAGCCUGACUCAUGUGAAAUUGCCUCUAUUCAAUAAUUUUUUGCCUAAAAAUACCAAUUUCUUAUGGUUCAACCUAAAUACUUCAAAAAAGUCUAUGUAUAUGUGUGUAUACACACACAUAUAUCCACACAUACAGAUAUGCACCCACAAGCAUAGAUACAUACACUCACAAAAGAACAGAAAUAAUAUAUACUAAAAUGUCAACAAUUGUUCUCUGGGUGAAGCUGCUGUAUUUUUAACAUUGCUCUUUAUGAUUUUCUUCAUUUUCUAGGUUUUAAUUUUUUAAUUUCAUUUAAUUUUUUUAGAGACAGGAUCUCACUAUGCUGCCCAGGCUAGUCUUGAACUCCUGGGCUCAAGCGAUCCUCCUGCUUUGACCUCCCAAAAUGCUGGGAUUACAGGCAUGAGCCACUGAGCCUGGCGUCUAGUUUUUUACGUGAAUGUAAUUUGAAAUCAUGCUUCAAAGCUCAGAAUGUAAUGGGGGCCAGAGUGUGGGAAGAAGGAAAUUUGUGUACCCUGCCAGCCUGUUGUAAAUAAGCACACACUCCCAGAGGGUAAUUUGGCAAAACAUCAAAAGCCUUUCAAGUAUUCAUACACUUGACCAAUCAUUCUUCUAAGAAUUUACCCCCCAAAAAUAAACAGACAUGUCAAAAUACCUGUACAAGACGUUCAUCACAGAGUUAUCUAUAACAUGAAAAAUCAAAUACAGUGAUAUACUCACAGACACUCGGGAACAGGUUAAAUAAACUAUAGUGCAUAUAUUUGGUGUAUUUUAUGGAGUCAUCAAUACAUUUUGGAAGAAGUCUUAAUAACAUAGGAAAAUGUUUAUGCCAAGUUGAAUUGUAAAAGCAAAAUAAAACCACAUAGAGUCUGAUCACAAUACAUCUAAAUACUAUUCUGUGUUUCCCAAAUGCUUGCAAGGUUUGCAUUACUUCUGUAAUCAGAAAGUAAGUAACUUCCUUUCAAAGAGAAAAGGAAGCUCCCUCUCUUCACAGAAUAGAAGAUGGACCAAGGGGGAAGCAGUUAGGAGCUGCUACGUUGGAAGUGAGAAUGAAGGGCAGAGGAAGAUUCCAGAGACUCAGGAGGCAGAAAUGUCAGGAUUUGCUGACUGACCAGAUGUAGCGGCAGAAUGAGGAACAAAGGAGUCAAGUUUGAUUCUCAGGUCUGUGGAUUUGGAGACAGAGUGAGAGGUGUCGCCAUUCUCCCAAGACAAGGAACACAGGAUUUGGUAGCACACAGACGGUCCCAGUGAUUCUUGCUUCCUGAUAUUCAGACCCUUUGUCCUCUCUGACUAGGGCUGACCUGUGGGACCCAUAGGGCAUAGCAGAAAUGACAGGGUGUGGCUUCUGAAGCUAGACCAUAAAAGAUAUUGUGGGCUCUGCUUUUCUCUCUCUUGGAUCACUUGCCCUGGGAGAAGCCAGCCGCCAUGUCAUGAGGACACUCAAGCAGCCCUGUGGAGAUAUCCCCAUGGUGAGGAACCAAGUCCUCCUCCCAAUACCAGCAGUCACUGGCCAGGUAUGAGGGUAAGCCCCAAGAGCACAGAUCCCCCAGCCCCAGGCGAGCCUUCCACUGAAGACAGAAACUGUCAAAGAAUGUUACUUGAUUUAUGUCACUAGGUUUGAGGGGAAUUUGCUAUACAGCAAUAGAUAACCAGUGCGUGGAAAGAGGCACAGACUGGAGCUGUCUGUACACUUUUGUGGUUUAAACCACCAUCUAGUUUUUCUAACUUCUGCUCAGGAUAUAGAGGGCUGGAAAGAGUAUUGCCGGUACCAUGACAACAAAAACACUAGAGAACAUGCAAAACCACUUUUUCCGGAACACAUCAGAGAAUUGAGGUUGCAGUUGCCUCCCUAUUAGGGUCCAGUGGGGGCUUCCAGAGGGAGACCAGGGCCAGGAGGAGGGAGAAGGGGCUCAUGCCUUCCUUCCGACCUGUGUCUGGCCAGCAUCAGCUCAACAGGGUCGGAGGGUGUCUGCCUCCUGCAGCUGCUAGCUCUGUUCUCUCACUAUUCCCUUUUUGCCUCCAAUUCCUGUCUAACCAAUCCCUAAAGUAAAUUCUUAUUCAAAUAACCAGACAGUUUCUAUUUCCCUAAGUGGAUCUUAACUGCUGCAGCACAAAUUCAAUUCAACUCCUCAAUGACUGCACCUGGUUCUCUUUUAGGGCCACAAAUAGGAGCGUGGUGGAAUUCCUGCCUGUCCACCUAAACCUCUGUCACCUGAUCCUUGUUACCUUUCCUGACGCACCCGCUGCAAACUCCACCCAACCUGGUCUGGCUCAUAGCACUACUUGUGUGCUCCUAA
rnacentral:lncRNA from 10 species